rnacentral:rRNA from 1 species
GACAGAGGGUGCAAGCGUUGUUCGGAAUUACUGGGCGUAAAGGGCGUGUAGGCGGCAGGGUGUGUCCUGUGUGAAAUACCUCGGCUCAACCGGGGAAGUGCGCAGGAUCCUACCUUGCUCGAGUGCGAGAGAGGGUGGCGGAAUUCUCAGUGUAGAGGUGAAAUUCGUAGAUACUGGGAGGAACACCGGAGGCGAAGGCGGCCACCUGGAUCGUUACUGACGCUGAAACGCGAAAGCGUGGGGAG